GAAAAGGGCGUCUGUUUCUUCUU
rnacentral:snRNA from 1 species